rnacentral:rRNA from 1 species
AUAAUUAAAUGGCCGCAGUAUUUUGACUGUGCUAAGGUAGCAUAAUCAUUAGUUUUUUAAUUGAAAGCUGGAAUGAAGGGUUGGAUGAAAAAAAGACUAUUUUUAUUUAAUUAUAUUAAAAUUUUAUUUUUAAGUUAAAAAGCUUAAAUUUUAUUAAAAGACGAGAAGACCCUAUAGAGUUUAAUAUAAAUUAUUUUUAAUUAAAUUAGCAUUGAAUUAUUUAAUUUUAAUUUAUAUUUAAUUGGGGUGAUUAAAAAAUUUAUUUAACUUUUUUUUUAUUUUAAUAUUAAUAAGUAAUUAUUUGAUCCAAUGUUUUUGAUUAUAAGAUAAAAUUACCUUAGGGAUAACAGCGUAAUUUUAUUAGAGAGUUCAAAUCGAUAAUAAAGAUUGCGACCUCGAUGUUGGAUUAAAAUUUAUAAUUGGUGUAGAAGCUAAUUAAUUA